rnacentral:lncRNA from 1 species
CUGAGAUAUUCUAUGUAAUCUGUUCAACCUUCGUUUUAUGCUUAGAUGGUGAGUCGUCCUCGAUUUUUUUUUUUUUUCUGAGACGGAAUCUCGCUCAGCCGCCCAGGCUGGAGUGCAGUGGCGUGAUCUCGGCUCACUGCAACCACCGUCUCCCGGGUUCAAGCGAUUCUCCCGUCUCAGCCUCCCGAGUAGCUGGGAUUACAGGCAUCCGCCAUCAUGCCCGGCUAAUUUUUGUAUUUUAGUGGACCAGGCUGGUCUUGAACUUCUGACCUCAGGUGAUCCGCCCGCCUCGGCCUCCCAAAGUGCUAGGGUUACAGGCGUGAGAGCAACCGCGCCCAGCCGAUUUUUUUGGACAGUAGCCUGAGAAGUUUCUUAUCUUUACUACUUCUCCCAUCGAGAAGUAGAGUCCAAUUCCCCUCUCCUUGGAUCUGGUUUGGCCUUAG